rnacentral:rRNA from 1 species
UACGUAGGGGGCGAGCGUUGUCCGAAUUUACUGGGCGUAAAGCGCGCGUAGGCGGGUGGACAAGUCUGCUGUGAAAGCCCGGAGCUCAACUCCGGAGGGUCGGUGGAUACUGUCCGUCUUGAAGUGGCUAGGGGGAGAUGGAAUUACCGGUGUAGCGGUGAAAUGCGUAGAGAUCGGGAAGAACAUCGGUGGCGAAGGCGCUCUACUGGACCACAACUGACACUCAGGGACGAAAGCUAGGGGAGCGAAUGGG